CAAAGUUCUAAAAAAUUAUCACACUACUAUCCUACUACUAAUUAAACAGCAGCAUCCUUUGUCAUCUUUCAUAAAAACACGUUGUCUAAGUGUUAAACUGCAUGGUUUCUCCAGCCCAGCUGUUCUCCCGUGUCGCAUAUGCUGAACUGCUCUGGAUUAAUUGUAAUGAGGCGGAGAAUCAGUGGGAGAACUAAAAACAGCAUGUGAAUUCAAAGUCAUGUGGAUGAAGG